UACGGGGGAUGCAAGCGUUAUCCGGAAUCAUUGGGCGUAAAGCGCCUGUAGGUGGUUUAAUAAGUCUGUUGUUAAAGACUAGGGCUUAACCCUAGAAAAGCAAUGGAAACUACUAGACUAGAGUAUGGCAGGGGUAGAGGGAAUUUCUAGUGUAGCGGUGAAAUGCGUAGAUAUUAGAAAGAACACCGGUGGCGAAAGCGCUCUACUGGACCAUCACUGACACUCAGAGGCGAAAGCUAGGGUAGCAAAAGGGAUUAGAUACCCCUGUAGUCCUAGCCGUAAACGAUGGAUACUAGAUGUUGUGUAUCAUAUACAGUAUCGUAGCUAACGCGUUAAGUAUCCCGCCUGGGGAGUACGCUCGCAAGGGUG
rnacentral:rRNA from 1 species